CGUCGAGUGGCGAACGGGUGAGUAACACGUGGGUGAUCUGCCUUGCACUUCGGGAUAAGCUUGGGAAACUGGGUCUAAUACCGGAUAGGACAGCUGUUUAGUGUCAGUUGUGGAAAGUUUUUCGGUGCAAGAUGAGCUCGCGGCCUAUCAGCUUGUUGGUGGGGUAAUGGCCUACCAAGGCGUCGACGGGUAGCCGGCCUGAGAGGGUGGACGGCCACAUUGGGACUGAGAUACGGCCCAG
rnacentral:rRNA from 1 species